GACGAACCACACAAACGUUAUUCGGAAUCACUGGGCGUAAAGGGCGCGUAGGCGGCUCAUGAAGGCUGUGGUGAAAGUCCGGGGCUCAACCUCGGAUCGGCCGUGGCGACUCGUGGGCUGGAGCACUGUAGAGGCGGGUGGAAUUCCGGGUGUAGCGGUGAAAUGCGUUGAUAUCGGAAGGAACUCCGGCGGCGAAAGCGAUGCACUGGCUGGUUUCUGACGCUGAGGUGCGAAAGCCAGGGGAGCAAACGGG
rnacentral:rRNA from 1 species